CUGCACGAAGCCGGAAUCGCUAGUAAUCGCAGAUCNGAAUGCUGCGGUGAAUACGUUCCCGGGUCUUGUACACACCGCCCGUCACACCAUGGGAGUUGGAAAUGCCCGAAGCCAGUGACCCAACCGGAAGGAGGGAGCUGUCGAAGGUGGAGCCGAUGACUGGGGUGAAGUCGUAACAAGGUAAC
rnacentral:rRNA from 1 species